UGGGCUUAUCAGUCCGGGGUCACCGCGCUGUCAGUCGGUCCUGUAUGCCGGGACUGGCUCACACUUUGCAUCUGGUGUGGAAGGUAUAAUACAUCCUCCCCAUGUGCCUUUGCAGAUGCUAGACAGCAGCGCACUACCCUCCAAUCAAGGAGACCAGACUUAGAUGGUUUCCUCAAUCAAGAAUGCCAUGUGAUAUGAACAUAAGAAAUAGAAGAGAGACGGUUCUUGAUUAGCUGUCAGAUGGCCAGGAUUUCAGUAGCUCAAUGGAAAAUAUACAAGAAUUAAACUAGUAUUGGGACCUCAGGUCAAAGUUUAAUAAACCAGCAAGUAGCGUCCCAGAUACUGUAAAUGAUAUCACUUUUCCUAUGCUCUGAUAUGUGCUUAUUGA